CAGUUCUCUGACUCAAUUAGGAAUUUAUUGUUUCGGUGGAAAUAUUAUAAUUAUUGAAAGUCACCUGACUAGCUUGGCAGCUUAUGACUCCCGUUGGUACCUGGAAAACGCGGAAUUCAAAUCGACUCUCAAAAUUUUUUUAUCAAUGGUCAAGCGCCCACUAUCGGUCAAAGCUGUGGACGUCCUCGAGCUCUCAUUCGUGACCCUCAAAAAUGUGCUGGCGAAAUCGUUCUCGGCGAUGGCACUCCUGCAGAAAGUUGCGGAAUAAAAUUGUGGUAAUGAAGUUAUGGCCCCGGGGAUUCCCCUGAUUAUCUGGGGGGGUCCACUGUACUUCAAUUUGGCACUUAGUUGUUAUCCCGUCGGAUCAUAUCGCAAUACUAAAAUGCGGUCUUCUACUCUGCGGUCUAGAGACUCCCGUCGUUGUUACUUUCUCAUGUG